UUCUGAAAAUUACCUUCAUUGUUUCUGCAGAUAUCCAUAUGUCACUUUUACAAAGAAAUCACAACUGAAAGUAAUCAAUUUUCAGCUAAAAAACUAGGAUUCCUCAUAAGUCCUUGAUCAGGUUCUGAUUUAUACAAGUUUGGCACAGCAAACGGUGCACAGUACACUGUACACUUUAAACUCUAAACUGUACACUGUAAAUUUUACACUGUAAAUUGUACACUGUAAUUUUUACACUGUAAAUUGUACAUGAUAUAUUUCAGAUAUAAUAUGAAAGGGAAGACGGGAGGUCUUAUAGCAGGGAUAGCUGGCAUAGUUCUGCUUGGACUUGGGGCUGGGCUUGGAUGGGGGGCUUUCCCCUCUAUUAUAAAGGGACAAGUUGAGGAAAAUAUUGAUUUAAA